rnacentral:rRNA from 1 species
AUUGAACGCUGGCGGCAGGCCUAACACAUGCAAGUCGAACGGUAGCACAGAGAGCUUGCUCUCGGGUGACGAGUGGCGGACGGGUGAGUAAUGUCUGGGAAACUGCCCGAUGGAGGGGGAUAACUACUGGAAACGGUAGCUAAUACCGCAUAACGUCGCAAGACCAAAGUGGGGGACCUUCGGGCCUCACACCAUCGGAUGUGCCCAGAUGGGAUUAGCUAGUAGGUGGGGUAAUGGCUCACCUAGGCGACGAUCCCUAGCUGGUCUGAGAGGAUAAGCAGCCACACUGUAACUGGGACACGGUCCAGACUCCUACGGGAGGCAGCAGUGGGGAAUAUUGCACAAUGGGCGCAAGCCUGAUGCAGCCAUGCCGCGUGUAUGAAGAAGGCCUUCGGGUUGUAAAGUACUUUCAGCGGGGAGGAAGGCGGUGAAGUUAAUAACUUCACCGAUUGACGUUACCCGCAGAAGAAGCACCGGCUAACUCCGUGCCAGCCGCCGCGGUAA